GAGUUUGAUCCUGGCUCAGAUUGAACGCUGGCGGCAUGCCUUACACAUGCAAGUCGAACGGCAGCACGGGAGCUUGCUCCUGGUGGCGAGUGGCGAACGGGUGAGUAAUGCAUCGGAACGUAUCCUGGAGUGGGGGAUAACGUAGCGAAAGUUACGCUAAUACCGCAUAUUCUGUGAGCAGGAAAGCGGGGGACCUUCGGGCCUCGCGCUCUUGGAGCGGCCGAUGUCGGAUUAGCUAGUUGGUGAGGUAAAGGCUCACCAAGGCGACGAUCCGUAGCAGGUCUGAGAGGAUGAUCUGCCACACUGGAACUGAGACACGGU
rnacentral:rRNA from 1 species